UACAGAGGGGGCAAGCGUUGUUCGGAAUUACUGGGCGUAAAGGGCGCGUAGGCGGCCUUCUAAGUCGAACGUGAAAUCCCCGGGCUCAACCCGGGAACUGCGUCCGAUACUGGGAGGCUUGAAUCCGGGAGAGGGAUGUGGAAUUCCAGGUGUAGCGGUGAAAUGCGUAGAUAUCUGGAGGAAUACCGGUGGCGAAGGCGGCAUCCUGGACCGACAUUGACGCUGAUGAGCGAAAGCUAGGGGGAGCAAACGGGG
rnacentral:rRNA from 1 species